rnacentral:rRNA from 1 species
GGGUUGUGAGGUUAAGCGACUAAGCGUACACGGUGGAUGCCCUGGCAGUCAGAGGCGAUGAAGGACGUGCUAAUCUGCGAAAAGCGUCGGUAAGGUGAUAUGAACCGUUACAGCCGGCGAUGUCCGAAUGGGGAAACCCAGUGCAAUUCGUUGCACUAUCGUUAACUGAAUACAUAGGUUAACGAGGCGAACCGGGGGAACUGAAACAUCUAAGUACCCCGAGGAAAAGAAAUCAACCGAGAUUCCCCCAGUAGCGGCGAGCGAACGGGGAGCAGCCCGGAGUCUGAAUCAGCUUGUGUGUUAGUGGAAGCGUCUGGAAAGUCGCAGGGUACAGGGUGAUACUCCCGUACACUAAAACACACAGGCUGUGAACUCGAAGAGUAGGGCGGGACACGUGGUAUCCUGUCUGAAUAUGGGGGGACCAUCCUCCAAGGCUAAAUACUCCUGACUGACCGAUAGUGAACCAGUACCGUGAGGGAAAGGCGAAAAGAACCCCGGCGAGGGGAGUGAAAAAGAACCUGAAACCGUGUACGUACAAGCAGUAGGAGCCCACUAGUUGGGUGACUGCGUACCUUUUGUAUAAUGGGUCAGCGACUUAUAUUCUGUAGCAAGGUUAACCGUAUAGGGGAGCCGCAGGGAAACCGAGUCUUAACUGGGCGUUAAGUUGCAGGGUAUAGACCCGAAACCCGGUGAUCUAGCCAUGGGCAGGUUGAAGGUUGGGUAACACUAACUGGAGGACCGAACCGACUAAUGUUGAAAAAUUAGCGGAUGACUUGUGGCUGGGGGUGAAAGGCCAAUCAAACCGGGAGAUAGCUGGUUCUCCCCGAAAGCUAUUUAGGUAGCGCCUCGUGAAUUCAUCUUCGGGGGUAGAGCACUGUUUCGGCUAGGGGGUCAUCCCGACUUACCAACCCGAUGCAAACUACGAAUACCGAAGAAUGUUAUCACGGGAGACACACGGCGGGUGCUAACGUCCGUCGUGAAGAGGGAAACAACCCAGACCGCCAGCUAAGGUCCCAAAGUCAUGGUUAAGUGGGAAACGAUGUGGGAAGGCCCAGACAGCCAGGAUGUUGGCUUAGAAGCAGCCAUCAUUUAAAGAAAGCGUAAUAGCUCACUGGUCGAGUCGGCCUGCGCGGAAGAUGUAACGGGGCUAAACCAUGCACCGAAGCUGCGGCAGCGACACUAUGUGUUGUUGGGUAGGGGAGCGUUCUGUAAGCCGUUGAAGGUGGCCUGUGAGGGUUGCUGGAGGUAUCAGAAGUGCGAAUGCUGACAUAAGUAACGAUAAUGCGGGUGAAAAACCCGCACGCCGGAAGACCAAGGGUUCCUGUCCAACGUUAAUCGGGGCAGGGUGAGUCGACCCCUAAGGCGAGGCCGAAAGGCGUAGUCGAUGGGAAACAGGUUAAUAUUCCUGUACUUGGUGUUACUGCGAAGGGGGGACGGAGAAGGCUAUGUUGGCCGGGCGACGGUUGUCCCGGUUUAAGCAUGUAGGCGGAUGUUCCAGGUAAAUCCGGAGCGUCACUAACGCUGAGGUGUGAUGACGAGGCACUACGGUGCUGAAGUGACAAAUGCCCUGCUUCCAGGAAAAGCCUCUAAGCAUCAGGUAACAUCAAAUCGUACCCCAAACCGACACAGGUGGUCAGGUAGAGAAUACCAAGGCGCUUGAGAGAACUCGGGUGAAGGAACUAGGCAAAAUGGUGCCGUAACUUCGGGAGAAGGCACGCUGAUGGUAGGUGAAGUGACUUGCUCAUGGAGCUGAAAUCAGUCGAAGAUACCAGCUGGCUGCAACUGUUUAUUAAAAACACAGCACUGUGCAAACACGAAAGUGGACGUAUACGGUGUGACGCCUGCCCGGUGCCGGAAGGUUAAUUGAUGGGGUUAUCCUCGCGGAGAAGCUCUUGAUCGAAGCCCCGGUAAACGGCGGCCGUAACUAUAACGGUCCUAAGGUAGCGAAAUUCCUUGUCGGGUAAGUUCCGACCUGCACGAAUGGCGUAAUGAUGGCCAGGCUGUCUCCACCCGAGACUCAGUGAAAUUGAACUCGCUGUGAAGAUGCAGUGUACCCGCGGCAAGACGGAAAGACCCCGUGAACCUUUACUAUAGCUUGACACUGAACACUGGUCCUUGAUGUGUAGGAUAGGUGGGAGGCUUUGAAGUGUGGACGCCAGUCUGCAUGGAGCCAUCCUUGAAAUACCACCCUUUAAUGGCUGGUGUUCUAACGUGGGCCCGUGAUCCGGGUUGCGGACAGUGUCUGGUGGGUAGUUUGACUGGGGCGGUCUCCUCCUAAAGAGUAACGGAGGAGCACGAAGGUCAGCUAAUCCUGGUCGGACAUCAGGAGGUUAGUGCAAUGGCAUAAGCUGGCUUGACUGCGAGCGUGACGGCGCGAGCAGGUGCGAAAGCAGGUCAUAGUGAUCCGGUGGUUCUGAAUGGAAGGGCCAUCGCUCAACGGAUAAAAGGUACUCCGGGGAUAACAGGCUGAUACCGCCCAAGAGUUCAUAUCGACGGCGGUGUUUGGCACCUCGAUGUCGGCUCAUCACAUCCUGGGGCUGAAGUAGGUCCCAAGGGUAUGGCUGUUCGCCAUUUAAAGUGGUACGCGAGCUGGGUUUAGAACGUCGUGAGACAGUUCGGUCCCUAUCUGCCGUGGGCGCUGGAGAAUUGAGGGGGGCUGCUCCUAGUACGAGAGGACCGGAGUGGACGCAUCACUGGUGUUCGGGUUGUCAUGCCAAUGGCAUUGCCCGGUAGCUAAAUGCGGAAGAGAUAAGUGCUGAAAGCAUCUAAGCACGAAACUUGCCCCGAGAUGAGUUCUCCCUGACUCCUUGAGAGUCCUGAAGGAACGUUGAAGACGACGACGUUGAUAGGCCGGGUGUGUAAGCGCAGCGAUGCGUUGAGCUAACCGGUACUAAUGAACCGUGAGGCUUAACCUUACAACGCCGAAG